rnacentral:rRNA from 1 species
GGCGACGACCGGCGGACGGGUGAGUAACGCGUAUGCAACCUACCUAUUGCAGGAAGAUAGCCCGAGGAAACUCGGAUUAAUAUUCCAUAAUAUCAUUUUUACACAUGUAUUAAUGAUUAAAGCUACGGCGGCAAUAGAUGGGCAUGCGUACCAUUAGCUAGUUGGUGAGGUAACGGCUCACCAAGGUUACGAUGGUUAGGGGGUCUUAAAGGAUGAUCCCCCACACUGGUACUGAGACACGGACCAGACUCCUACGGGAGGCAGCAGUGAGGAAUAUUGGGCAAUGGACGCAAGUCUGACCCAGCCAUGCCGCGUGCAGGAUGACUGCUCUAGUAGUUGUAAACUGCUUUUCUAUUUCAUGAACCCCUCUGACGUGUCAGGGGCUGACAGUAGAAUAGGAAUAAGCAUCGGCUAACUCCGCGCCAGCAGCCGCGGUAAUACGGAGGAUGCAAGCGUUAUCCGGAUUUACUAGGUUUAAAGGGUGCGUAGGCGGGGUAUCAAGUCAGUGGUGAAAUCCUGCAGCUCAACUGUAGAACUGCCAUUGAAACUGAUAUUCUUGAGUAUAGUUGAGGUAGGCGGAAUGUGUUAAGUAGCGGUGAAAUGCAUAGAGAUAACACAGAACACCGAUUGCGAAGGCAGCUUACUAAACUAUUACUGACGCUGAGGUACGAAAGCGUGGGGAGCGAACAGGAUUAGAUACCCUGGUAGUCCACGCCGUAAACGUUGAUCACUAGUUGUUUGCGAUACAUUGUGAGCGACUGAACAAAAGCAUUAAGUGAUCCACCUGGGGAGUACGUUGGCAACGAUGAAACUCAAAGGAAUGACGGGGGCCCGCACAAGCGGAGGACAUGUGUUAUGAU